rnacentral:lncRNA from 1 species
AAAUAGUUAAACCUGAAGGUCACUUCACAGCAGCGUUCCUACAUGCUCCCCCAGCGAGGCUGCCCGGCAACAAUAAAACAAAGCCUUUGCAACCACCUGUAAUAAUCUGCCUGCUCAGCCAGCAAUCCGAAAAGUCCUGGAGCUACACAAGGCUACAGGAGAAUCAUUCACAAUGAACUAUUUGUCCAAUCAUCCUAUCAGUAAAUGAGACAAAUGAAGACAAAUGGAAGGAGAAUAUACUAAGACUUGUCAAGGGAUUUGUCUAUACUGUACUAAGUGAGCACAACUCAGGGGAUGGUUGUGAGAUGAUUAGGAACCUGCUGAUUCCCUAGCUGAGCUUUGUUCUAAGUGCCUCUCAUGGUGUGGACUUCACAGUGUUUAUUCGUGUAGUUUCA